rnacentral:rRNA from 1 species
AGAGUUUGAUCCUGGCUCAGAACGAACGCUGGCGGCAGGCCUAACACAUGCAAGUCGAACGCCCCGCAAGGGGAGUGGCAGACGGGUGAGUAACGCGUGGGAAUUUCCCCCAAGGUUCGGAAUAACUGAGGGAAACUUCAGCUAAUACCGAAUGGUACCGAGAGGUUAAAGAUUUAUCGCCUUGGGAUGAGCCCGCGUCGGAUUAGCUAGUUGGUGAGGUAACGGCUCACCAAGGCUGUGAUCCAUAGCUGGUCUGAGAGGACGACCAGCCACACUGGGACUGAGACACGGCCCAGACUCCUACGGGAGGCAGCAGUGGGGAAUCUUGGACAAUGGGCGCAAGCCUGAUCCAGCCAUGCCGCGUGGGCGAUGAAGGUCUUCGGAUUGUAAAACCCUUUUGGCGGGGACGAUAAUGACGGUACCCGCUAGAAUAAGU